rnacentral:lncRNA from 1 species
UCUUCCUUUCCAUCUGUCCCUCUCCCCCACCAUCUCUCUCUUCCUUUCCAUCUGUCUCUCUCCCCCACCAUCUCUCUCUUCCUUUCCAUCUCUCUCUCUCUUCCUUUCCAUCUGUCUCUCUCCCCCACCAUCUCUCUCUCUCUUCCUUUCCAUCUGUCUCUCUCCCCCACCAUCUCUCUCUCUCUCUUACUUUCCAUCUGUCUCUCUCCCCCACCAUCUCUCUCUCUCUUCCUUUCCAUCUCUCUCCCCCACCAUCUCUCUCUCUCUCUCUCUCCCUUUCCAUCUGUCUCUCUCCCCCACCAUCUCUCUCUCCCUUUCCAUCUCUCUCUCCCCCACCAUCUCUCUCUCUUCCUUUCCAUCUGUCUCUCUCCCCAUCAUCUCUCUCUCUUCCUUUCCAUCUGUCUCUCUCCCCCACCAUCUCUCUCGCUCUUCCUUUCCAUCUGUCUCUCUCCCCCACCAUCUCUCUCUCCCUUUCCAUCUCUCUCUCUUCCUUUCCAUCUGUCUCUCUCCCCCACCAUCUCUCUCUCCCUUUCCAUCUGUCUCUCUCCCCCACCAUCUCUCUCUCUUCCUUUCCAUCUGUCUCUCUCCCCCACCAUCUCUCUCUCUUCCUUUCCAUCUGUCUCUCUCCCCCACCAUCUCUCUCUCUUCCUUUCCAUCUGUCUCUCUCCCCCACCAUCUCUCUCUCUUCCUUUCCAUCUGUCUCUCUCCCCCCACCAUCUCUCUCUCUCUCUUCCUUUCCAUCUGUCUCUCUCCCCCACCAUCUCUCUCUCUCUUCCUUUCCAUCUCUCUCUCUCUCCCUCUUCCUUUCCUUCUCUCUCUUCCUUUCCAUCUGUCUCUCUCCCCCCACCAUCUCUCGCUCUCUCUUCCUUUCCAUCUGUCUCUCCCCCACCAUCUCUCUUUUCCUUUCCAUCUGUCUCUCUCCCCCGCCAUCGCUCUCUCUCUCUUCCUUUCCAUCUGUCUCUCUCCCCCACCAUCUCUCUCUCUUCCUUUCCAUCUGUCUCUCUCCCCCUCUUUCUUUCUCUCUCCUUUUCGCUCCGACUCACAUUUUGUCUUUUCAAUUCAGGCACACUUUCACGUGGUGUAUCUUUCUCUCUUUCUUCUAUUCUCUCUAUUUCACUCUGCCUUUCAAUACAUUUCAUCUUUCUUACCUGCAGUAGCAGUCUGUGCUUGGUUAUAUGUCAGCAAAGAUUAAAACACCAACCCAACACAAGAAAACAUCCAAAUGUAACAGUUAUAUUGUAA